rnacentral:sRNA from 1 species
UUAAUAAUGAUACGGGGCAUAAUGGGCCCUC